rnacentral:rRNA from 1 species
UACAGAGGGGGCAAGCGUUGUUCGGAAUUACUGGGCGUAAAGGGCGCGUAGGCGGCCUGCUAAGUCGAACGUGAAAUCCCCGGGCUCAACCCGGGAACUGCGUCCGAUACUGGUUGGCUUGAAUCCGGGAGAGGGAUGCGGAAUUCCAGGUGUAGCGGUGAAAUGCGUAGAUAUCUGGAGGAACACCGGUGGCGAAGGCGGCAUUCUGGACCGGCAUUGACGCUGAGGCGCGAAAGCCAGGGGAGCAAACGGG